rnacentral:sRNA from 1 species
CGUUGGCUCCAGACAAAUAAACAUGGAGUCCAUCUUCCACGAGAAACAAGAAGGCUCACUUUGUGCUCAACAUUGCCUGAAUAACUUAUUGCAAGGAGAAUAUUUUAGCCCUGUGGAAUUAUCCUCAAUUGCACAUCAGCUGGAUGAGGAGGAGAGGAUGAGAAUGGCAGAAGGAGGAGUUACUAGUGAAGAUUAUCGCACGUUUUUACAGCAGCCUUCUGGAAAUAUGGAUGACAGUGGUUUUUUCUCUAUUCAGACAGCAGCAAAAGCAGCAACAGCAGCCGCAAAAGCAGCAACAGCAGCCGCAACAGCAGCAGCAGCAGCAGCAGGGGGACCUAUCAGGACAGAGUUCACAUCCAUGUGAAAGGCCAACCACCAGUUCAGGAGCACUUGGGAGUGAUC